GGGUGAUGAAAAAUGAGAACACAUGGACACAGAGAGGGGAGUACUAAACACUGGGGUCUAUUGGGGGGAAAAGGGGAGGGCCAGUGGGAGGGGGAGGUGGGGAGGGAUAGCCUGGGGAGAAAUGCCAAAUGUGGGUGAAGAAGAGAAGAAAAGCACACUGCCAUGUGUGUUUCUACGCAACUGUCUUGCAUGCUCUGCUCAUGUACCCCAAAACCUAAAAUCCAAUAAAAAAUUAAAAAAAAAAACAAAAAAAUUGAAAGCAUAAAGGACUUUCACCCCUUGCAAUGUUUAAUUCAAUAUAAUUGUUUUCUUGUUUACAUUAGUGACCCUAUCAGAGCAUGCUGUAAACCUUUUGCCAUAUUCAGAGUACUUCCCCAUAAGCCGCAACAUUUUCCUCUCCUCCUCUGGAUGUUAGGAACAAUAUCCCAGGACCGGCCUACAACCCCAGUCACAUCUGACCCUAUAAGAACAUGCUGUACACCUCUUGCCAUAUUCAGAGUACUUCCCUAUAAGCCGCAACAUUUUCCUCUCCUCCUCUGGAUGUUAGGAACAAUAUCCCAGGACCGGCCUACAACCCCAGUCACAUCUGACCCUAUCAGAACAUGCUGUACACCUCUUGCCAAAUUCAGAGUACUUCCCCAUAAGCCGCAACAUUUUCCUCUCCUCCUCUGGAUGUUAGGAACAAUAUCCCAGGACCGGCCUACAACCCCAGUCACAUCGUGA
rnacentral:lncRNA from 13 species